GUAAAGCAUUAGCAUUCGAGAGGAUUUCUGAGUGUGCACUAAACCACUAUGCACAGUGUGAGACAGACUUGGCACUUAAGUUUGUACAGUGUGUGCCUGAGUCAGACGGCAGAUCACUUUCAUUUGCAGAGGAGAACCUCCUGUCAUGAGGAUACAAACAUCCAUGCCACCACCACCACCAGUCUUCAGGCAACCACAAGGACAGUAUGCUACCAGGCAUGAGCAUGGUUGGAUGGCUUCAGUUGAGGAUCCGGGAGUGAUGCCACCACCAUUGCCAUAUGACCCCUGGCAAGAUUCCUGGUCAGAGGAAUAUCCUCUCUUUGGCUUUGAGGGGGAGCCAAGACAGCCACAAAGAGUCCAUGUAUUUACCCCCCCCCACACACACACACACACAACACAAUCUCAUGGUAGUCAGGGAUUUUACCCACAGACAAUGUCACAGGAAGUGCCAAUUGGACAGGCUGAGUUGUCACACACUGGUCAUCAGUGGGACUAUCAACCAACCAUGAGAGCUCCACCAUCCUUAUCAAUUGGACGAGCUCCACCAUCCUCAUCAAUUAGACGAGCUCCACCAUCCUCAUCAAUUGGACAAGCUCCAUCACCCUCAUCAAUUGGACAAGCUCCACCAUCCUCAUCAAUUGGACAAGCUCCACCAUCUGCAGAUAGAAAUAUCUACAGCUGCACCUCAAGCACCAUCAGAUGUAGCUACCCCUGCCCCACAUGAACCAACAGUUGUAGCUGACCCUGCCCCACAUGAACCAGCAGUUGUAGCUGCCCCUGCCCCACAUGAACCAUCAGAUGUAGCUGACCCUGCACCUCAAGCACCAGCAGAUGCAGGUGAACCUGCCCCACAAGCACCUAAAAGCCCUGCUGCUCAAGAGCCUGUGGAUGCAUUGUAUUCUCCCCUGGGUGAGGAAUACAUUGCACUCCAGAGGAGGCUCAUAACAAGCACCAAGAGCAUACAAAGAGUCCAAGAGAGGUUCUUCAGGAACCAUAAAAGGUUCAUCAGGAGCCAAGAGAGGAUAUAACAAUGUAGCAUAAAGCUACAGAGGGACAUGGCAGCAUCGUUAAGUGCAAGUGUUCAGAACCAGUCACAGAUGAUGCAAAUUCUGUCUGAUAUGCAGAUGCAAAUGCACAAUAGAUGGAGAGAACAAAAUCAACUCUUGGGUGUGUUGGUUGAGCACUUUAGACACCAUCAGGACACUGCCUCCAGCCUAUCAUCUGUGGCCAGCACACCAGCAGAAACACCAGAAUCUUCUCAAACCAGGAGAACAAGGAAAUCCACUACAGUCACCUCAGCUCCCUCAUCCAAGAAGCCAAAUAAUAAAUAAAUAUUCAAAUAGUUCACCAUAAA